rnacentral:rRNA from 1 species
GCCUUCUGGACAGUACUGACGCUGAGAUGCGAAAGCGUGGGGAGCAAACAGGAUUAGAUACCUGGUAGUCCACGCUGUAAACGAUGUCGAUUUGGAGUUUGUUGCCUAGAGUGAUGGGCUCCGAAGCUAACGCGAUAAAUCGACCGCCUGGGGAGUACGGCCGCAAGGUUAAAACCCAAAUGAAUUGACGGGGGCCCGCACAAGCGGUGGAGCAUGUGGUUUAAUUCGAUGCAACGCGAAGAACCUUACCUGGUCUUGACAUCCGUAGAAUUCUGCAGAGAUGUGGGAGUGCCUUCGGGAACUAUGAGACAGGUGCUGCAUGGCUGUCGUCAGCUCGUGUUGUGAAAUGUUGGGUUAAGUCCCGCAACGAGCGCAACCCUUAUUCUUUGUUGCCAGCGAUUUGGUCGGGAACUCAAAGGAGACUGCCGUUGAUAAAGCGGAGGAAGGUGGGGACGACGUCAAGUCAUCAUGGCCCUUACGACCAGGGCUACACACGUGCUACAAUGGCGUAUACAAAGGGAAGCGAAGGUGCGAGCUGGAGCGGAUCUCAUAAAGUACGUCUAAGUUCGGAUUGGAGUCUGCAACUCGACUCCAUGAAGUCGGAAUCGCUAGUAAUCGUAGAUCUGAAUGCUACGGUGAAUACGUUCCCGGGCCUUGUACACACCGCCCGUCACACCAUGGGAGUGGGUUGCACCAGAAGUAGAUAGCUUAACCGCGAGGGGGGCGUUUACCACGGUGUGAUUCAUGACUGGGGUGAAGUCGUAACAAGGUAACCA